GGAAGGGUGGCUCAGUGGUAGAGCAACCGCCGUUCGGGUGGAUUACUUAGGCUUCGCGUGGUUCGACUCCCGCCCCUUCCG
rnacentral:tRNA from 1 species